rnacentral:rRNA from 1 species
GUCUAUGACCAUACCACCCUGAAAGCGCCUGAACUCAUCUGAUCCCGGAAGCUAAGCAGGGUCGGGCCUGGUUAGUACUUGGAUGGGAGAAUGCACAGGGUAACCUUCCUCAGGGCUUCUCAAAUG